rnacentral:misc_RNA from 1 species
CCUACUCACACUCUUAUAUCUCUGUCUCUCUUGAUGCGCCUACCCUUCCUCGCUCCAAACCCAAGCAAAACCCCACUAUUCCAUCUCAUCUUGCUCUCUCACUCGCUCCGAUCCAACUCUGUCAACUUGCCCAGACGUUUCUUAACUCGGAGAUCGUCACUUCCUAGAAUGGCGAUCCCUCCUAAGCUAGUAUCCUCUUCCUCUUCUUCUUUCCCUACUACUGCUAGAGGAAGCAGCGAGGAAGGUCUCGCUAAUAAAUUGUGGAUCAAGUUCCGCCGAGAAUCGAUUUUCGCUAUGUACACUCCCUUCGUCGUUUGUUUGGCUGCUGGAAACCUUAAGAUUGAGACUUUUAGGCAUUGCAUCUCCCAAGAUUUUCACUUCCUCAAAGCCUUUGCCCAUGCUUCUCAGCAGGGUUAGAUUGUUAUUAUCUGGGAAAAAGUGAUUACAUUAUCUGAGGCGAGUUUCAAAAUAUGGAACUUCCUUGUAUGAUGGAUAAUGGAAGUAUAUAAAAGCUCUUGCCUUGAUCUUAAUCUACAUUAUUACAAUAGGAUGCUUAUUUUGGUGUGUUCAAUUUGCUUCUUUUUUUUAUUACAAUUUUAGGUAUAAAUUGGCAGAAGAGUGUGCUGAUGAUGAUGAUGCAAAGCUAGCUAUCACCAAGUUGAGGAAGGGGGUCUUAGAGGAGCUAAAGAUGCACAAUUCAUUUGUACAGGAAUGGGGUAUAGACCCUUCUAAAGAUGGGGCUAUCAAUUCUGCAACCGUAAAAUACACAGAUUUCUUGUUGGCUACUGCCUCUGGGAAGGUUGAAGGAGUUAAAGGUCCUGGUAAACUUGCGACUCCUUUUGAAAGAACAAAAGUUGCAGCUUAUACUCUUGGUGCCAUGACACCUUGCAUGCGGCUGUAUGCCUUUCUUGCUAAGGAGUUGCAAGCACUUAUAGAUUCAGAGGAUGGUAGUCAUCCUUACCAGAAGUGGUUUGACAAUUACUCAUCUGAGGGUUUUCAGGCAUCAGCUCUGCAAACUGAAGACUUGCUGGAUAAACUUAGUGUCCCUUUGACAGGCGAAGAGCUUGACAUCAUUGAAAAGCUUUAUCACCAAGCCAUGAAACUGGAAAUAGAGUUCUUCAAUGUGCAGCCACUUGCACAGUCCACUGUGGUUCCUCUAACAAAAGAGCAUAACCCUGUAGAAGAUCGCCUUGUGAUAUUUUCUGAUUUUGAUUUGACAUGCACCAUUUUUUAUUCCUCUGCCAUUUUGGCAGAGAUUGCAAUUGUAAUGGCACCAAAAUCUGAUCAGGCUCAACCGGAGAAUCAAAUUGCUAGGAUGUCAUCAGCUGAGCUGAGGAAAGCUUGGGUUCUUCUCUCUGGACAGUAUACAGAAGAGUAUGAACAAUGCAUUGAAAGCAUUCUGCCCCCUGAAAAAGUGGAGUUCAACUAUGAAGUUCUGUGUAAAGCACUUGAGCAACUUUCAGACUUUGAGCGAAAGGCAAAUGCUAGAGUGGUUGAAUCUGGAGUUCUCAAGGGUCUGAAUCUUGAAGACAUAAAAAGAGCUGGUGAACGACUGAUUCUUCAAGAUGGUUGCAC